UUAGCGGCACGAGUUGUAGAUUGCAGGUUGGAGUCUGUGUGGAAGGCGGUGUCCAAGUCCCUUGGAACAGGGCGCCCAGGAGGGUGAGAGCCCCGUGGGAUGCCGGCGGAAGCAGUGAGGCCCUUCUGACGAGUCGAGUUGUUUGGGAAUGCAGCUCCAAGCGGGUGGUAAAUUCCAUCUAAGGCUAAAUACUGGCGAGAGACCGAUAGCGAACAAGUACUGUGAAGGAAAGAUGAAAAGCACUUUGAAAAGAGAGUGAAACAGCACGUGAAAUUGUUGAAAAGGGAAGGGUAUUGCGCCCGACAUGGGGAUUGCGCACCGCUGCCUCUCGUGGGCGGCGCUCUGGGCUUUCCCUGGGCCAGCAUCGGUUCUUGCUGCAGAGAAGGGGUUCUGGGAACGUGGCUCUUCGGAGUGGUUAUAGCCGGGGCAAAUGCUGCGUUGCGGGGACGAAGGACUGCGGCGUGUAGGUCACGGAGGCUGGCAAACGGCGCAACCACCGCC
rnacentral:rRNA from 1 species